AGCGAACGCUGGCGGCAGGCUUAACACAUGCAAGUCGAACGGGCGUAGCAAUACGUCAGUGGCAGACGGGUGAGUAACGCGUGGGAACGUACCUUUUGGUUCGGAACAACACAGGGAAACUUGUGCUAAUACCGGAUAAGCCCUUACGGGGAAAGAUUUAUCGCCGAAAGAUCGGCCCGCGUCUGAUUAGCUUGUUGGUGAGGUAAUGGCUCACCAAGGCGACGAUCAGUAGCUGGUCUGAGAGGAUGAUCAGCCACACUGGGACUGAGACACGGCCCAGACUCCUACGGGAGGCAGCAGUGGGGAAUAUUGGACAAUGGGCGCAAGCCUGAUCCAGCCAUGCCGCGUGAGUGAUGAAGGCCCUAGGGUUGUAAAGCUCUUUUGUGCGGGAAGAUAAUGACGGUACCGCAAGAAUAAGCCCCGGCUAACUUCGUG
rnacentral:rRNA from 1 species